rnacentral:tRNA from 1 species
GCGGGUAUGGCGGAAUUGGCAGACGCGCUAGACUUAGGAUCUAGUGACUGGUUCGUGGGGGUUCAAGUCCCUCUACCCGCA